rnacentral:lncRNA from 1 species
CCAAGGUUCAUAGAUAGGGGUUAGGUUAUCUCAUAACUAUGUGGGCGGAAGCGAGAGGGAGGGGAAUGCCUACGUCACUCGUACGACAAAGUCAAGUUUGACAGUUGUUUGAGGUUAUAAUUCCGUAUAUUUUUGUGGAAUUUUCUUAUAAUAUCGUUUAUUUGUUUAAUAUUUGUUGAGUUUUUAAGCAUAUAAGGACAAUAUUACUAUAAUUACUUAUUUGGGUCCUAUACAAAGGCAGUAAUGACUUGUGAAGUGUGUUUUCGUAACCGUGUAAAAUGAGUGGUGGUAACAUUUGUAGCAUAGCUAUAUGUAAAAGCAACUCCAAAAUUCCUGAACCAGAUGGAAA